GUUAAGUACAUGCCAACACUGUGAGUGUAUUAGGCAUCUAAUUUUAUUUAAAUUUCAUACACAAUGUUAUUUAAUUCUUAUCACAACCUUAUCAAGUGAGACCUAUUACUUUCUCUUUAUAGAUAAAAAUACCAAGGCUCAGAAAGUUUAAUGGCUUGCCUAGAAUAGUCUAAAGGUGGCAGAGAUGUAAUUCAAACACACAUCUUUGAACCUCUUUUUGCUCUUCCCUGGUACCCCAUGCGGACCACACCAGAUAUCACCAGGCUUCUCACAGCAACAAUAAUGAACCCAGAGGUAUGAAACCUGCUUUGGCCUCUAAGUCAUGGUGCGAACUUUGGAUGAGUCCUCUCUCCUCUCCAGUGGACCUCAGGGCUGGCCAGCAUCUGUUGCAUUUGUUGCCUCUUCCCGUGUUCAUCCCCGUAAUGUAAAGACGAAGAUAGAACACACAAAGCCACCAUCUGGUGUAUGCAAAAUUAACUGCCCUGAAGAAAGAAAAUGGUUUCCACAUAAGUCAACCAGCGAGCUCCUGCUUCAGCAACCCUGUGACAUCUGAGACCGCAUGCACUCACUCCCAUGUUUGCUGAAUUUGGGGCAUGUUCCACAGACCCUGCAUCUGUUUCUAAUCUGGCCAUGGGUCUUGGGAGUUCUAAUCUGAAGCUUGUUUGAAAGUAAUUCCUGAAAUCAUCACUGGACCAGACUCCUAAGAAUAGAGGCCUCUCUGAAGGUAAAAGCUUAAAAGCUCAAUCUGGGAGACCCUGUUCCUCUGCACAGUGGAGAAGGCCAGCAGGACAGCAGUAAGCUUUCUCCUAGUUACGGGAAAUAGAAAAUGAACUCACGAUUUCAUUCAGUUGAGUAUCUGGUCAUAUUGACUUUAAAAAAAGUUACUUAUACAAGGAUAUUAACAUUACACCUGCUGGAAGCUUCCUUUUUCAGAGGCCUAUUUGUAAACAGAAAACAUUGCAGAUUGAUGGUAAUUGUCACAUUAAAAUUAUCCUGGUGGUUUAUACAAAUCUUGUAGCCAGUGCAGCUUAUUCAAUUCCAAUUGCAUUGUGCAAAUUGGCCUAAUAAUGAAAAGCCAUACAUUUUCAUUAGUGCAGUUGUCCUGUCUGCUGAUGGCUGACAUUCUAACUUUUGAUAAACAGCAGGAGUCUCUAAACUGCUGAUGUCGCAACUCAGAACUCUCCGCUAAGACAAAAUGAAAUUUGACUUCUGAAUCUCACUGGUAAAAACUCCUCCUCAAACAUGUUCUGAAAUUAUAGGCAUGUUUUUUAAGACCACCUGAAAUGGUGACUUCUUAUUUAUAAGCUGUCUUCUCUUGUUUGUAAAAUGUACACAGUAAGGCAUUUUGGAGGGUCAUUCAUUCAUUUCUUCAUUUUUUGACAGAUAUUUGCUGAUUGUCUACCAGAUAACUCGUCCUACACUAGGGAUUGUGUGCUUGAAAUAAUGUGAAUAUGCAGUGGCUGAGGGCAGGGCCUUCUCCCCUUUCUACAAGAGUCUAGGUAAUAGGAAUAAUAAUGAGAGAUUUGUAUCAUAGUCAUUUUGACCAAAGAAUU
ensembl:lncRNA